AUCAAACAACACUGAACACCUUUAUUAGCUGCUUCAGCAGUGCUUCAUUGGGGUUGGAGCUAAAAUCUACUGGACAGUAGCUCACCAGGAGCAGGGUUGGAGUCUCCUGGUAUAUAUUUAUACAUGUUUAAACAGUUGCGUUUAAAACUAACUGUGGAUGCACUUUUCUUUUUCCAGUGUUUUCUUCAACAGUGCAGUGGGAAUUCUUGUGGUGUCUACAUGCUGAUGUAUGCUCUCAGCAUCUGCACAUCAUGUCCUUUAACAUUUACAGAGGAGGAGGUGCCAUUGAUUCGGCAGUGAUGGUGCAUUCAGCUAAUGGAAAAGUUUUGUCUAGAAGGGUAUGAUAGGUUUUCUAAUAAUAAGGCAUGGACAGAGGUUUGCAUACUGGACCGAAGAAUCAUCCCAACUCCUUCAGGGAACACUUGAGCCUGUCUUCAGGGUUUCAAAAUCCACCACCACCAAACUGUUGCCCAGCAGAAGAGUUGUGGUUAAAAUGGACAUUUAUAAGCUUGUGUCUUCACAAGGUGCAGCAGCCAACCAUUCUGAGAGACCUGUAUACAAGCCUGGAACUGGGUACGCAGUCAAAGAGACUUAUUCCGUGGGGAGGUGACAGAGCCUGCUUUUCUGCAAAUGAGCAAUGAUGACCAACAAAAUGCCCUCAAAAGGGUCAUGUGUGAUGAAUUCCCUGAGGCAAAGGAUGACUUUGUUUAUUUUCAAUGUCAAGAGGACAUGGAAACAUUUUUGUCCUACUGCAUUGAUGAAAGGCUUGUCAAUGCCAUGUUCCGGGAUGGAUGGAGGGAGGGAACAAAUUAAUUUAUGAAUAAAUCAGUUUUUGUAAUCCAUUUUUCUUCAAUUCAGACACUUGUAAAAAUAUGCUGCAAUAAGAACAGUUAAGCAGAACAUAUCUUUAGAAAAUAUUAAAUGUAAACACACAUCUGUAUUUCCCAAAUUGUGUAACAUAUGUAAGCUAUAGUUUAAUUAUACUACAUUUUCUCAUACGAUUUAUAUUGUCACAUUAACCUUAAAUUUUUAUAUAUUAUUUUAGUGAUUGCUUAGGACAAUACCAUUUAAAAACAAGGUAGAGUAAGCAAACUUGCACACAAAACAGACAUUAAACGAGCAAUAUUAUUAAUUG